rnacentral:rRNA from 1 species
GAUGAACGCUGGCGGCGUGCUUAACACAUGCAAGUCGAGCGAAGCACUUACCAUUGACUCUUCGGAAGAUUUGGUAAAUGACUGAGCGGCGGACGGGUGAGUAACGCGUGGGUAACCUGCCUCAUACAGGGGAAUAACAGUUAGAAAUGGCUGCUAAUGCCGCAUAAGCGCACAGUACCGCAUGGUACGGUGUGAAAAACUGAGGUGGUAUGAGAUGGACCCGCGUCUGAUUAGGUAGUUGGUGGGGUAACGGCCUACCAAGCCGACGAUCAGUAGCCGGCCUGAGAGGGUGAACGGCCACAUUGGGACUGAGACACGGCCCAGACUCCUACGGGAGGCAGCAGUGGGGAAUAUUGCACAAUGGGGGAAACCCUGAUGCAGCGACGCCGCGUGAAGGAAGAAGUAUCUCG